UCAGGUGAUUAACACCUGUGAAGUACCAUUCUAACUGCGCUACCCUUCCAACACGGUAUUACUGUAAACCACUGAUAUUUGGCUGCUGUGAUUGCAAAGCUAGAUUCUUAACAUCACAAGGUGGUUUUCUGGGCUUUCAUAGGAAGUGAAAAAAAGGAUUACUCCACUGCUC
rnacentral:lncRNA from 1 species